rnacentral:snRNA from 1 species
AACAAAACACUCUACUUGAAGUAGU